rfam:Lasallia pustulata genome assembly, contig: scaffold3988_size4351
UACCUGGUUGAUUCUGCCAGUAGUCAUAUGCUUGUCUCAAAGAUUAAGCCAUGCAUGUCUAAGUAUAAGCACUUAUACCGUGAAACUGCGAAUGGCUCAUUAAAUCAGUUAUAGUUUAUUUGAUAGUACCUUUACCUGGAUAACUGUGGUAAUUCUAGAGCUAAUACAUGCUAAAAACCUCGACUUCGGAAGGGGUGUAUUUAUUAGAUAAAAAACCAAUGCCCUUCGGGGCUCUUUGGUGAUUCAUAAUAACUURACGAAUCGCAUGGCCUUGCGCCGGCGAUGGUUCAUUCAAAUUUCUGCCCUAUCAACUUUCGAUGGUAAGGUAGUGGCUUACCAUGGUCUCAACGGGUAACGGGGAAUUAGGGUUCUAUUCCGGAGAGGGAGCCUGAGAAACGGCUACCACAUCCAAGGAAGGCAGCAGGCGCGCAAAUUACCCAAUCCCAAUACGGGGAGGUAGUGACAAUAAAUACUGAUACGGGGCUCUUUCGGGUCUCGUAAUUGGAAUGAGUACAAUCUAAAUCCCUUAACGAGGAACAAUUGGAGGGCAAGUCUGGUGCCAGCAGCCGCGGUAAUUCCAGCUCCAAUAGCGUAUAUUAAAGUUGUUGCCGUUAAAAAGCUCGUAGUUGAACCUUGGACCUGGCUGAUCUGUCCUCCUAAUCGAGCGCACGGAUUCGGUCGGGUCUUUCCUUCUGGGGAGCCCCAUGCCCUUCACUGGGUGUGGUGGGGAACCAGGACUUUUACCUUGAAAAAAUUAGAGUGUUCAAAGCAGGCCUUUGCUCGAAUACAUUAGCAUGGAAUAAUAGAAUAGGACAUCGGUUCUAUUUUGUUGGUUUCUAGGACCGCUGUAAUGAUUAAUAGGGAUAGUCGGGGGCGUCAGUAUUCAAUUGUCAGAGGUGAAAUUCUUGGAUUUAUUGAAGACUAACUACUGCGAAAGCAUUCGCCAAGGAUGUUUUCAUUAAUCAGUGAACGAAAGUUAGGGGAUCGAAGACGAUCAGAUACCGUCGUAGUCUUAACCAUAAACUAUGCCGACUAAGGAUCGGACGGUGGUUUUUUUAUGCCCCGUUCGGCACUUUACGAGAAAUCAAAGUUUUUGGGCUCGGGGGGGAGUAUGGUCGCAAGGCUGAAACUUAAAGAAAUUGACGGAAGGGCACCACCAGGCGUAAACCGCAUUAGCUCUGCGCCGAAAAGCAGCCUGACAAAGGUGAAGUGGUUGCAUCCUUAAAUGCUAGUCCGCGUCCGCGGGCGACACCCUCAAAUUGCGGGAAGUUCUUAAAGCCCAAACUACCAAGUGGCCGUCGAAAGGCGGUCAUGGCCAGGGUAAUGACCUCGGGUAUGGUAACAACGUUUGGGAUGUCACAAUAGAUAAUCCGCAGCCAAGCACCCUCCCCCACGGCGACGUGGGCGGGUGAAGGUUCAGAGACUAAAUGGGGGUGGGUAAGAGUAACAGCGUUCGAGCAUCAGAAUCUCUUGCUUAAGAUAUAGUCCAAUCCUGAAGGGAAACCUUUGGGGGACGAAACGGGAGCCUGCGGCUUAAUUUGACUCAACACGGGGAAACUCACCAGGUUAACUACAGCAUUUGUCUGGGCCUGGUAGAGUGGGACUCCGGUCCCGCUAGUACACAGUCGUUCUGCGUGAGGAAGUCCUCAUUUUCGGGCGCAGGGUAGCCUUUAUUGGGCUACAGACUGGUGCAACACCAGCUGGUACAGGGGACACCUCCAAAAUAAGGUCGACCCUGUGGUGAGCCGAGAGUCACGUCUCGGCCAUCGCAACGCGCGCAAAGCGGUGGGCAGGGUACAUCCUGCUUAAGGUACGUGCUAAUCCCAUGGGAUGGAAAACCAUGCUCUCGCCAGGAGGCCCGAAUGCCAAAUGGAGAGGGGCGGUCUCGGACCGCGGUGGCUAUAUGCCAGACAUGCUUAGGAUUGACAGAUUGAUAGCUCUUUCUUGAUUGUAUGGGUGGUGGUGCAUGGCCGUUCUUAGUUGGUGGAGUGAUUUGUCUGCUUAAUUGCGAUAACGAACGAGACCUUGACCUGCUAAAUAGCCAGGUUGACUUUUGUCGGCCGCCGGCUUCUUAGAGGGACUUUUGGCUCAAGCCAAUGGAAGUACGAGGCAAUAACAGGUUAACUUUGGUUACGACCAUCACAGGCCUGUUACAGCGAACCUCGCUAAAUAAAUCGCUAGUUAAGUGUCUUUUAUCUCUUCGGUGGGAGCCCACCGACUGUCGGGAGGAGAACUCUUCGGAGUUGACACUAGCAAGACAACCUGGUUCAGGGGACGCUCUCGCGAGUCGAUCCUGAGGCGAGCCAAAGUAGCGUUUGGCCGUCGCAACGCGCGCAAAGGUGUCGGUCGUGCUUUGGCACGGCUUAAGGUACGUGCUAAUCCCCCGAGUGAUCGGGUGCCCCCUGCAAGGUCCGACAGACCGAGCUUGGGGCGUGCCUCAUAGGCAGGUAUUGAAUGCUGUGAUGCCCUUAGAUGUUCUGGGCCGCACGCGCGCUACACUGACAGAGCCAGCGAGUACAUCACCUUGGCCGAAAGGUCUGGGUAAUCUUGUUAAACUCUGUCGUGCUGGGGAUAGAGCAUUGCAAUUAUUGCUCUUCAACGAGGAAUGCCUAGUAAGCGCAAGUCAUCAGCUUGCGUUGAUUACGUCCCUGCCCUUUGUACACACCGCCCGUCGCUACUACCGAUUGAAUGGCUCAGUGAGGCCUUCGGACUGGCUUAGGGAGGUCGGCAACGACCACCCAGAGCCGGAAAGUUCGUCAAACUUGGUCAUUUAGAGGAAGUAAAAGUCGUAACAAGGUUUCCGUAGGUGAACCUGCGGAAGGAUCAUUA